CAGUCGCCGCGGUAACACCAGCAGCCCAAGUGGUGGUCGCGAUUAUUGGGCCUAAAGCGCUCGUAGCCGGGCCGGUAAGUCCCUUGUGAAAUCGGACGGCCUAACCGUUCGGCGUGCAAGGGAUACUGUCGGUCUUGAGGCCGGGAGACGUCCGAGGUACUCCGGGGGUAGCGGUGAAAUGCUCUGAUCCUCGGGGGACCACCGGUGGCGAAGGCGUUCGACGAGAACGGGCCUGACGGUGAGGGGCGAAGGCUAGGGGAGCAAACGGGAUUAGAUACCCGCGUAGUCCUGUCUCUUAUAC
rnacentral:rRNA from 1 species